AUUGAACGCUGGCGGCAGGCCUAACACAUGCAAGUCGAGCGAGCGGCGGACGGGUGAGUAAUGUAUGGGGACUGCCCGAUAUAGGGGGAUAAAUACUGGAAACGGUAGCUAAUACCGCAUACUAUCGGAUAACCCAUAUGGGAUUAGCUAGUAGGUGAGGUAAUGGCUCACCUAGGCGACGAUCCCUAGCUGGUCUGAGAGGAUGAUCAGCCACACUGGGACUGAGACACGGCCCAGACUCCUAGGGAGGCAGCAGUGGGGAAUAUUGCACAAUGGGCGAAAGCCUGAUGCAGCCAUGCCGCGUGUAUGAAGAAGGCCCUAGGGUUGGAAAGUACUUUUAGCAGAGAAGCGGUAUCUGCAGAAUAAGCACCGGCUAACUACGUGCCAGCAGCCGCGGUAAUUC
rnacentral:rRNA from 1 species